GAUGAACGCUAGCUACAGGCUUAACACAUGCAAGUCGAGGGGAAACGAUAUUGGAAGCUUGCUUCCGAUAGGCGUCGACCGGCGCACGGGUGAGUAACGCGUAUCCAACCUGCCCAUCACUGGGGGAUAACCUUGCGAAAGUAAGACUAAUACCCAAUGACGUCUCUAGAAGACAUCUGAAAGAGAUUAAAGCUUUAUCGGUGAUGGAUGGGGAUGCGUCUGAUUAGCUUGUUGGCGGGGUAACGACCCACCAAGGCGACGAUCAGUAGGGGUUCUGAGAGGAAGGUCCCCCACAUUGGAACUGAGACACGGUCCAAACUCCUACGGGAGGCAGCAGUGAGGAAUAUUGGUCAAUGGACGAGAGUCUGAACCAGCCAAGUAGCGUGCAGGAUGACGGCCCUAUGGGUUGUAAACUGCUUUUAUAAGGGAAUAAAGUGAGAGUCGUGACUCUUUUUGCAUGUACCUUAUGAAUAAGGACCGGCUAAUUCCGUGCCAGCCGCCGCCGUAA
rnacentral:rRNA from 1 species